GGCCCACGUAGCUCAGGGGUAGAGCACUUCCUUGGUAAGGAAGAGGUCACCAGUUCGAGUCUGGUUGUAGGCUU
rnacentral:tRNA from 1 species